GCUACGGAAGGGCCUUAACUCGAUAAGUCCCCUCGGUACCUGAAGUGAGCUCAUAAUCGUGAACGAAGCGCGCAACCGCUUAUUACAAGCGAGGGCAUUGUAAAUUUGCAGAGAAGCGGAGGGAGAAGCUUAGCGGUGAGAGCGACGGAUGAUGGUGAGAGUGAGAAAGAAAGAUGUAAAGAUCAGGCGAGGAAGGACAACAGGUACGUCAAGAAAGAAAGAAAGAAAGAGAGAAAGAAAGAAAAUGACAGAGAGGGAGAGGGAGAGAGUGAGAGAGAGAGAAGAAAGAAAGGGGCUGAGGAGUCAGGGGAAGGUAUAAGACGAGGGAGGCAAAGAGGAGUCGAAAGGACAAAGCGGCGCAAAACGUGCCCUUCAGGCAUCUGAGGUCUUUCUUCAGCGUUGAAAAUUUAUCGUUCUGCAAGCGCCGGUCUAAAAAAUGAAGAGCAGUUGGAUCCAGAUUAGAAAAUGAUGAAGAGCAGUUGGCUCCGGAUUAAAGUUAAUCUACAUUGAUUGAUGGAGACGGGCAUUAUCCGGACAAAUCCAGAUUUUACCGAAAACCGGUGUUUAAGCAUUGCGUAUCCCCUUAACGUGAAUAAAUUCGCACCAGUUCGCGAGGGUUGAGCAAGAAAGGUUUCCCGUGUCUGGAAGAGAAUGUACUUCGAACGAUAACUAUUGAGAUGAUCGCGAGUUCACGUCACAGAAUACGUCGUCGCGACGUACGUAUAAGGAUGCUUCUCGACAUCGCGAAACGAGAUCGAGGGAAAGAAGCAAACUCCUGGUAAUGGUCGGGGAACGGUUGAAGGGAUGAGCUUCGAGGAAUAAGGUAAGGAUAAUCGAAGCAAUCGAACGGCGGUCGUGCCGUUCGUGGGAGUCGAGGGCGUUGGGCCGCGAAAUGAAUUCCACCCCUCGACGGAGGGUGGAAAAAAGAGGCACCCGUCGCGCCAGUCUCGCAUACUCGCGUAUUCGCUGCUCGUAUAUGCGCGAGAGUACACACACAUACAUACACAUACAUACACACACACACACACGCCGUUACCACCCGAGACGACCGGGGCUGCUGGGAGAAUGAUAACGCCGCGUUAGAACGAAGAUUUGUGAAUACAUUAGAGAAAAUGCGUGGGGUCCUCGGGGAGGGCGCGCGAAAGGGAGGACUGAGGAAUGGCAGGGUGAUUCGUUCCCGGAGGAAAACGCUCGGGAAUCCUCCUCCGCGCCGCUCGGGUAUUUAUCUUCCACCGAUCGCGUUGGGGUCGCGUCCCUGGAAAGUCAACGAACUUUGUUCUCUAUCUCCCUCACCCCUUCCCUUCUUCUCGGCGGCUCCAGAAUUGCGAGCAAUGUAAUUUUUUUUGUCAACGACUUCUCGCUCUCGGGCUUUCCCGCGGGAUUUUGUGCACCUCCACUCUCUGUACUGCGUUUCUAUUGAAUACCUUUGUGAGGAUCUUGUUUUUUUUUUUUUUUUUUUUUUUUCCCGAGAGAUGUAAUUCCACAAGUUGAAUGAUUUAUUACGUUUCAUCAUAGUAGUAGUUCGAUAAUAGCAGUAUUACACAAAUUAACAUUAUCAAUUCGAUAUUUAACUUUCAAAAGUUGAGUUGAAAUUGUGCGAUAACAUAAGUAUAAGAUAGAUGUUUUA